rnacentral:rRNA from 1 species
UAGGGAAUCUUCCGCAAUGGACGCAAGUCUGACGGAGCAACGCCGCGUGAGUGAAGAAGGAUUUCGGUUCGUAAAACUCUGUUGUUAGAGAAGAACAGCGCAUAGAGUAACUGUUAUGCGUGUGACGGUAUCUAACCAGAAAGCCACGGCUAACUACGUGCCAGCAGCCGCGGUAAUACGUAGGUGGCAAGCGUUGUCCGGAUUUAUUGGGCGUAAAGCGAGCGCAGGCGGUCAAUUAAGUCUGAUGUGAAAGCCCCCGGCUCAACCGGGGAGGGUCAUUGGAAACUGGUUGACUUGAGUGCAGAAGAGGAGGGUGGAGUUCCAUGUGUAGCGGUGAAAUGCGUAGAUAUAUGGAGGAACACCGGUGGCGAAGGCGACUCUCUGGUCUGUAACUGACGCUGAGGUUCGAAAGCGUGGGUAGCAAACAGG